rnacentral:rRNA from 1 species
AGCAGCCGCGGUAAUUCCAGCUCCAAUAGCGUAUAUUAAAGUUGUUGCAGUUAAAAAGCUCGUAGUUGAAUUUCGGGGUCAGUAGGUUGGUCAUGCCACUGGUAUGUACUGGUCUCACUGAUUCCUCCUUCCUGAUGAACUGUAAUGCCAUUAAUUUGGUGUUGCAGGGAAUCUGGACUGUUACUUUGAAAAAUUAGAGUGUUUAAAGCAGGCUAACGCCUGAAUACAUUAGCAUGGAAUAAUGAAAUAGGACGUUCGAUCCUAUUUUGUUGGUUUCUAGGAUUGACGUAAUGAUUAAUAGGGAUAGUUGGGGGCAUUAGUAUUCAAUUGUUAGAGGUGAAAUUCUUGGAUUUAUUGAAGACUAACUACUGCGAAAGCAUUUGCCAAGGAUGUUUUCAUUAAUCAAGAACGAAAGUUAGGGGAUCGAAGACGAUCAGAUACCGUCGUAGU